rnacentral:tRNA from 1 species
GCGUCGGUGGCGGAGUGGUCAAUCGCACUUGACUGUAAAUCAAGCACCUACUGGUUACGCAGGUUCGAAUCCUGCCCGGCGCACAA